rnacentral:rRNA from 1 species
CAGUAGCCGCGGUAAUACGAAGGGUGCAAGCGUUAAUCGGAAUUACUGGGCGUAAAGCGUGCGUAGGCGGUUCGCUAAGACAGAUGUGAAAUCCCCGGGCUUAACCUGGGAACUGCAUUUGUGACUGGCGGGCUAGAGUAUGGAAGAGGGGGGUAGAAUUCCACGUGUAGCAGUGAAAUGCGUAGAGAUGUGGAGGAAUACCGAUGGCGAAGGCAGCCCCCUGGGCCAAUACUGACGCUCAUGCACGAAAGCGUGGGGAGCAAACAGGAUUAGAGACCCCCGUAGUCCCUGUCUCUUAUAC